AUUGAACGCUGGCGGCAGGCUUAACACAUGCAAGUCGAGCGGAGAGAGGUAGCUUGCUACUGAUCUUAGCGGCGGACGGGUGAGUAAUGCUUAGGAAUCUGCCUAUUAGUGGGGGACAACAUUUCGAAAGGAAUGCUAAUACCGCAUACGUCCUACGGGAGAAAGCAGGGGAUCUUCGGACCUUGCGCUAAUAGAUGAGCCUAAGUCGGAUUAGCUAGUUGGUGGGUAAGGGCCUACCAAGGCGACGAUCUGUAGCGGGUCUGAGAGGAUGAUCCGCCACACUGGGACUGAGACACGGCCCAGACUCCUACGGGAGGCAGCAGUGGGGAAUAUUGGACAAUGGGCGCAAGCCUGAUCCAGCCAUGCCGCGUGUGUGAAGAAGGCCUUAUGGUUGUAAAGCACUUUAAGCGAGGAGGAGGCUACUUUAGUUAAUACCUAGAGAUAGUGGACGUUACUCGCAGAAUAAGCACCGGCUAACUCUGUGCCAGCCGCCGCAGUAAUAC
rnacentral:rRNA from 1 species